rnacentral:rRNA from 1 species
ACGGAAGGCGCAGUGGGGAAUAUUGCACAAUGGGCGCAAGCCUGAUGCAGCGAUGCCGCGUGAGGGAAGAAGGUUUUCGGAUUGUAAACCUCUGUCAACAGGGACGAAAAUGACGGUACCUGUGAAGGUAGCCCCGGCUAACUACGUGCCAGCAGCCGCGGUAAUACGUAGGGAGCAAGCGUUAUCCGGAAUUACUGGGUGUAAAGGGAGUGAAGGCGGGACUGUAAGUCAGAUGUGAAAUAUGCCGGCUCAACUGGCAGACUGCAUCGGAAACUGCGGUUCUUGAGUGAAGUAGAGGUAAGCGGAAUUCCUAGUGCAGCGGUGAAAUGCGCAGAUAUUAGGAGGGACAUCAGUGGCGAAGGCGGCUUACUGGGCUUUAACUGACGCUGAGGCUCGGAAGCGUGGGGAGCAAACAGGAUUAGAUACCCUGGUA